GUUUUGCCAAAUACAGCUAAGCUAGUAUUUCAAAAAAUCAAACUUUUUGUAAAAAGUUAAUUUAUAAAUAUUUUUUUAUAAAUAUAUAAUUUAUAAAAGGAUCCGGCAAAUGUUUAAUGAAACAAAAACACCUACAUUGUAUAUGAUAUUAUUAUUUCCGUCUUAAUAUUGCAAGCGAUGCAUCUAAAGUCAUUUCAGUUAAUAUGGUUUACAUGUAUGAGAAGAAGUUCCUUAAGUACUAACCUCUUUUAAUGCUUGUUAUAAACAUCACUAGAACUCAAACUUAGGCCGUCUUUAUAAGCAACUUACGUGAUCUGAUCAUCAGUAAAAUAUGACGUUAUAAUUUCAAUCUUAAAUCAUUUUUGUAGUAUAUAAACUUUUAUUAUUA
rnacentral:lncRNA from 1 species